UAAGAGACGUAACUGGAAUGUGAUGUGUAGCGGUGAAAUGCUUAGAUAUGUCACAGAACGCCAAUCGUGAAGACAGGUUACGAACUUAAUACUGACGCUCAUGCACGAAAGCGUGGGGAUCAAACAGGAUUAGAUACCCUGGUAGUCCACGCUGUAAACGAUGAUCACUCGUUGUUGGAUGGUAACAUUCAGUGGCUAAGCGAAAGCGAUAAGUGAUCCACCUGGGGAGUACGAUCGCAAGGUUGAAACUC
rnacentral:rRNA from 1 species